CUCAGGCCACCUGGUGGGGCAUCGUUCUGAGGGGAGGUCGGUAUUGUCUGUUUUGACUCUUGCUCUCAGCUGAGGAGUGUCCUUGGGGAUGUUAAAUUCUGGACCCACAUGGUUGCCCUGCUCAGGGGCUGAACAAGCUCCUGCGGUGCAGAACGGGGCCUCAGGGUGAGAAGCCACCGGAGGUGUGGAGCCAGCACUCACUGCCGCCAUCCUCCCCACAGGUGCAGGUGAGUUCAGCAGAGGGCAGGGCAGCACAGCCACAGCACCUGCUGCGGAGGCCACACGGGGCGUCAAAUGAGAGAGGAGAAUGGCUUUAAUAGUGGUGGUGGCAGUGGAUGUGGAAAGAAAAAGACAGAUUUGCUGUGUUUUUAGGAUGUAGGAGGUGAUAAACAAUGGUCAACCUCCCCUCCCAUCACACAGAUAUUUACUGCUGUGAUUUGGUUUCUUGGGAUGCAGACCGAGGCUGAGUUUGUCCUGUGAGCUGUUUGCAGAGAGCCCUUGGACUGACACGUGUGAGAAGGAGUGAGCAGGCUGCAUACUGUUGCAGGUGCUGGCAGAAUAGUCAGGUGAGGCCAAGGCAAGAAACAGACAAAUGUGUAACAUCAGGUGUGCAAACCAGAUGGCUGGACCAGGUGAAUGAAGGUGGAAGGGGCAAUGAUGGUGACUGGAAAGGCAAAGCAACCUGGCCGUGACAUCUCAGGAGCAGGCGGCCCUUUCCUGCAGUGGCUGCUCUGGGAGCUGCACCCUGUGCAUGGUUUCAUCUUUUGGUUACAAUUCACUGCCUCUCUGCAGGACAUGGGGCAGUCGCCUCUCUGAUGGGUUGGGGACGGCGGGCGCAGCUUCGGCGAGGGACCCGGGCCUCCUGGUCUCCCUGCUCAUCUGGCCGCUCCGGCUCUGGCAGGGAAACGCGCAGUACAGGGCAAUGUGCAACCUGGACCCCUGGCAAGAGACUUGCAGGGCUGGCAAGUGGAGCUGCGCCCUGGCCACCUGCUACGGAUUUAGCAUAGAAAAAGCCUCUCACGAUCAAGAAAACGUUUCCCUCGCUGCCCCUCCCCCUCCACCAAAACAAACGAAAAACUGACUCAGAGGGCCGUGAGCCUUGUUUCUGACGACCACUGGUGCCUUCUGAUGACUGCAGAAAUGAGAGGGCAGCAGGGCUGGAUGAAGAUCUUUUGGAAACCCUAGCGCUGAUACCAAUGAUGCCACAGUGUGGAAAUAAAACAUAACUCACCUUUUUUCUAUUUUUCUGUUUUUGUUAUCGGGGAUCAAACUCGAGUCCUUGAGCUUGCGGGGCAGGAGGCAGAACCACUGAACUAAAUCUCCACCCCAACAUAACUCUUUUUUUUUUAAUGUUAAAUUCUUUUUUUGGUAUAUUUUAGGUAUACAACACAAUUACAUUUCUUAUUGGGAAUUGUACCUGUUGUGCCCAGAUUUCGAGGUCCCCAAAGACCACCAAGGAGCCGAUUCCGAUGUAAACACACGAGGGUCCUUUAUUUAAGCUCGAGCAGGGACUCCCAACCAUCACUGCCACAGCGGGUCAAGAUUGAGAGCCCUGACUCCAAAUCAGCAGGGGUUUUUAUAGUAGUUACAGCAAGGUUCUAGAUUGGCAGUUAAACCUGAUUGGUUGUGCCUUGUGUACCCAAGCUGCAAACGGUUACACCUGGGACUUUGGGGUAGCUGUUGCCAGGGGACAGCUGAACACUUAUCACAAGCAGGUGGGCAAAGUACAUCUUGUGGUUUUAGGUCUCACAUUCCCCCCUUCACAUGUAACUCUAGAGGCCCAAUCAUGGGUCUUGGGGGGUUAAAUCUACUGGGACCUAAGCACCAUUAAUUGUACAGAGCUAACACGUUCUCCAAGGGUUAAGCAAGGGGCCCAGUAGAGAAGAGAUAAACAACACUCUUUACAGAGGGCAGCACAAAGUCUUUUCAUAAUUAUGACCGUCGACGACGCAGUCUGAGCUUGAGAGGAUUGUCACGGAUUUUGGACACCUGCCAUGAAGGGAUGUAAUCCUCUAGAACGGCGUGUGGAUCUGCGGGGCGGACGUGAGUGUAGUGUACCUAUGAGGCAAUCCCGUCGACCUUGAGAGCGGUGGGCGUGGUCAGGACAGUAACAUAGAGUCCUUUUCCACGAGGCUCAAGGUCCUUCCGUCGAUGUCUCCGGACAAAGACCCAGUAGCGAUGGGGCUCGGGAGGUGGUCCGGACUCGAACAGGGCCUUUAAUUUAGGCCAGAUGUCUUUGUGGACACACUGGAGGCUUUGUAAGGAAGACAACAGUUUUAAUGGGAGGGGGCACCCGAAACAUGAUUUCAAAGGGAGUUAGUCCUAUCUUAUAGGGAGAAUUGCGUACCCCAUAGAGGGCAAAGGGAAGGAGAAUCACCCAGUCACCGCCAGUCUCUAAGGUUAAUUUAGUUAAGGUCUCUUUUAGAGCUCUGUUCAUUUUUUCUACCUGCCCUGAACUCUGGGGUCUGUAAGCACAAUGUAAUUUCCAAUUUGCCCCCAGUACCUGUGCUAAACCUUGACUCACUUUGGAAAUGAAGGCAGGUCCAUUGUCUGACCCUAACAUUACUGGGAAACCAUCUUGGCAAGAUGUCUUCUAGUAACUUUUUAGCCACAAUCUGUGCCAUCUCAUGUUUGGUGGGAAAGGCCUCUGUCCAUCCUGAGAAAGUGUCUACAAAAACUAGCAGGUACCUGUAACCAUACCUUCCAGGUUUUACCUCAGUAAAGUCCAAUUCCUAGUAUACGCCGGGUCGGUUUCCUCUCAAUCUGUUGCCUGGGUUGGCUUUAUUGUGAGUAGCAUUUGUCAAUUGGCAGGCUUUGCAGGUGGCAACGAUAUGCUCAAUUUCAGGAGGUCUUGCAUUUUUCGAGUGCCCAUGUGGGUGGCCCGGUGCAUUUUGGAGAGAACUUGUUCUCCCAGUGCUUCAGGCAGGAUGACUCUACAGUCAGAUGAUCUCCACCAUCUUUUUAGGCAUUGGGCCAUGGGCAGUUGUUUAAGUCUGCCUCGGUAUACUGGGGAGUUUCUGGUAAGGCAGCACCCCCUGUAUCAGGCAGCUGAAUGGUCAGGGUCAGAUCAGCUUCUAGGGCUAU
rnacentral:lncRNA from 1 species